GAUGAACGCUGGCGGCGUGCCUAAUACAUGCCAGUCGAGCGAACGGACGAGAAGCUUGCUUCUCUGAUGUAACGGCGGACCGGGGAGUAAAACGUUGAUAACCCACCUAUAAGGCUGGGGUAACUUCGGGAAAACGUAGCUAAUACCGGGUAAUUUUUUUAACCGCCUGGUUUAAAAGUGAAAGACGGUCUUGCCUUCACUUAUUGGUGGAACCGCCGGGCAUUAGCUAGUUGGUAAGGUAACGGCUUAACAAGGCAAAGAUGAAAUACCGGCCGGGGGGGUGGAUCGGCCAACCUGGACAUGAAACACGGCCCAGACCCCAACGGGGGGAAGCAGUAGGGAAUUUUCCGAAAUGGGGGAAAGCCUGACGGGGCAACGCCGGGGGAGUGAUGAAGGUCUUCGGAUCGUAAAACUCUGUUAUUAGGGAAGAAAAUAUGUGUAAGUAACUGUGCACAUUUUGACGGUACCAAAUCAAAAAGCCACGGCUAACUACGU
rnacentral:rRNA from 1 species